rnacentral:sRNA from 1 species
GUGCUUAUUUGCAGUCUAAAGAAAUUUCCUUUUGGUCAGAAGAUAUAGUUCAAGGAGUUUAAAUUGGUGUGGGAGGCCAUCAGGAUUCCUCUGAGCUGGGCUGGUUGGGAAGAGAGGCGUCUGUGGCUUUAUUUCUUUUUCGUUAUCUGUAGAUGUGGCAGAAAAUCGAGGAUGUGGAGUGGAGACCCCAGACUUACUUGGAGCUGGAGGGUCUGCCUUGCAUCCUGAUCUUCAGUGGGAUGGACCCGCAUGGGGAGUCCUUGCCGAGGUCUUUGAGGUACUGUGACCUGCGAUUGAUAAACUCCUCCUGCUUGGUGAGAACAGCCUUGGAGCAGGAGCUGGGCCUGGCUGCCUACUUUGUGAGCAACGAGGUUCCCUUGGAGAAGGGGGCUAGGAACGAGGCCUUGGAGAGUGAUGCCGAGAAGCUGAGCAGCACAGACAACGAGGAUGAGGAGCUGGGGACAGAAGGCUCUACCUCGGAGAAGAGAAGCCCCAUGAAAAGGGAGAGGUCCCGCUCCCACGACUCAGCAUCCUCAUCCCUCUCCUCCAAGGCUUCCGGUUCAGCGCUCGG